CACAACACCAAGGACUUUGUUAUCCAAAGGGUAAAGAGUUAGAAAUAAAAGACACAGAGAGGAGAUGAGAGAGGAGAGGUUGAGGAGAGGGAUAAGAGCCAAGAAGAAACAAGACCAUGUGAGUAGUGAUCAGUGUUUCAGAGAGGAAUCUUAUUCAAGGCCACUUCCCAAGGCCACCACCACCACCACCUCUCCUCUCCUCUAUCCUCCUCAUCAUCUCCACCUCUCAACCCCUUCUUUUCAAACAUUUUUAAGCUUCAAUUCACACCUCCUCAAAACCACACCAAAACCUCUCUUCUUCUUCUUCUUCUUCUUGUUAUUAUUAUUAUUAUUAUUAUUAUUAUUAGUAUCCAUACUUCAUCCUUCUUCUUUUUUUUAACUUACAUGAAGGACAUAGCUUUGUUGAUCACUUGAUGUUUUAUUUUGGUUUGUUAAGUUGUAUGGAUUUGGAAGAGGAGCUCCUUGAAGUCCAAAAGAGAGUCUUGAAAGAGCUUGGUUGAGCUGCUGAGUUAUGGAUUCCACUAUCCUAUUCCAUGUUUUUUAUUAUACAAAGAACUAGAGAUAUAGAGAGAGCUAAAGAGGAAAGAAGUUAAAGGAGUUAAUUUGGGAUAGGUUUGUGGGUUGCAUGAUUCAGGAGCUGCAUUAGUUCUUUCAGACUUUUGUUUGGAUUGAAGGGAGCUCUACAUCUAUAUUUUAUGUGACUAACUCUUCUCUAUUUUAUUUAUUAUUUUUUCUUUUGUUUACUUAAGUUUCUAUUUUGACAUUUAUUUUUACUGUGUUUUUUGUUUAUUGAUGAUUCUAUUGAAGUUUUGUGGUUUUUCUCUUAAGUGGUUGGUGGGAUGCCAUUGUCCACUCAUUUUAUUGGAUUCUUAUAUGCAAUGAACUCUACUUCCAUUUACUAUUUAUGGUUUGGUUUUUUAGUUUUUUUUUUUUUUCCUAAAUUUUAUCAGCAUGUGCUUUGAUGAGUGUUUUGCUCGUUGGGAAGAUUAUUAUCAUUGGAUCUGGGAGUUGAAGAUCUCACGGAUGGAGAGUUUAUUAUUAUUAUUUUUUAUUUUUUUUCAUUAUUUAUUUAUAAGAUUGUUACUUAAGUUCUGUAAUUUUUUACAAUUAAUGUCAAAUUUUGGAGAGAACAAUUACAAGUACCGAAAGAUAUUUUCAUUGGCAUA